UACGUAGGGUGCAAGCGUUUAAUCGGAAUUACUGGGCGUAAAGCGCGCGCAGGCGGUUUCUUAAGUCUGAUGUGAAAGCCCACGGCUCAACCGUGGAGGGUCAUUGGAAACUGGGGAACUUGAGUGCAGAAGAGAAAAGCGGAAUUCCACGUGUAGCGGUGAAAUGCGUAGAGAUGUGGAGGAACACCAGUGGCGAAGGCGGCUUUUUGGUCUGUAACUGACGCUGAGGCGCGAAAGCGUGGGGAGCAAACAGG
rnacentral:rRNA from 1 species